rnacentral:rRNA from 1 species
AUGUGUUUGCAAGAAGAGGAAAGACUUAAAACCUCAUAUGGUGGUUCUCUGAACUAUGUGAAGGAUAAUAAGAAAAAGAACUACAAUCAAAGUGGCAAAGGUUCUCCUUCAAAGCCACAUGGAAAAGCUCCCACGCACCAUCAGCAUCAACAAAAGUCUUUUCCAGUGGACAAAGACACAUGUCUCUAUUGUAAGCAGACUGGGCACUACAAGAAAGAUUGCCCUAUUUGGCUGAACUCAAUAAUGGCAAAGAGAGGUAACAACAUUGUUUCCUUUGUAAAUGAACCCUUGUAUGCACAGUUUUCGAAAUCUACUUGGUGGAUUGACUCAGGUGCAACCGUUCAUGUUGCAAAUUCAUACAGGGAUUCUAUUCGACACGGACUAUGCAAAGAAGUGAAAGAUGGAUUGAGGUUGCAAAUGGAGUUCAAGCAGAAAUUGAAGCUGUCAGCGACAUCUCCCUGGAGUUAG